rnacentral:rRNA from 1 species
GGAUGAGGUGUGGGUAGCGGAGAAAUUCCAAUCGAACUUGGAGAUAGCUGGUUCUCUCCGAAAUAGCUUUAGGGCUAGCCUCGAGGUAAAGAGUCAUGGAGGUAGAGCACUGUUUGGACUAGGGGCCCUUCUCGGGUUACCGAAUUCAGAUAAACUCCGAAUGCCAUGUACUUAUACUCGGGAGUCAGACUGCGAGUGAUAAGAUCCGUAGUCGAAAGGGAAACAGCCCAGACCACCAGUUAAGGUCCCCAAAUAUAUGUUAAGUGGAAAAGGAUGUGGGGUUGCUUAGACAACCAGGAUGUUGGCUUAGAAGCAGCCACCAUUGAAAGAGUGCGUAAUAGCUCACUGGUCGAGUGACCCCGCGCCGAAAAUGUACCGGGGCUAAACAUAUUACCGAAACUGUGGAUGAACCUCUUUAGAGGUUCGUGGUAGGAGAGCGUUCUAAGGGCGGUGAAGUCAGACCGGAAGGACUGGUGGAGCGCUUAGAAGUGAGAAUGCCGGUAUGAGUAGCGAAAGAAGGGUGAGAAUCCCUUCCACCGAAUAUCUAAGGUUUCCUGAGGAAGGCUCGUCCGCUCAGGGUUAGUCGGGACCUAAGCCGAGGCCGAUAGGCGUAGGCGAUGGACAACAGGUAGAGAUUCCUGUACCAGUGCUAAUUGUUUAACCGAUGGGGUGACACAGAAGGAUAGGGAAUCGCACGAAUGGAAAUGUGCGUCCAAGCAGUGAGUGUGAGAAGUAGGCAAAUCCGCUUCUCGCGAAGCAUGAGCUGUGAUGGGGAAGGAAAUUAAGUACGGAAGUUCCUGAUUUCACGCUGUCAAGAAAAGCCUCUAGGAAGAGUAGUACUGCCCGUACCGCAAACCGACACAGGUAGAUGAGGAGAGAAUCCUAAGGUGAGCGAGAGAACUCUCGUUAAGGAACUCGGCAAAAUGACCCCGUAACUUCGGGAGAAGGGGUGCUCUAUUAGGGUGCAAGCCCGAGAGAGCCGCAGUGAAUAGGCCCAGGCGACUGUUUAGCAAAAACACAGGUCUCUGCAAAACCGUAAGGUGACGUAUAGGGGCUGACGCCUGCCCGGUGCUGGAAGGUUAAGAGGAGUGCUUAGCUUCGGCGAAGGUACGAAUUGAAGCCCCAGUAAACGGCGGCCGUAACUAUAACGGUCCUAAGGUAGCGAAAUUCCUUGUCGGGUAAGUUCCGACCCGCACGAAAGGCGCAACGAUCUGGGCACUGUCUCAACGAGAGACUCGGUGAAAUUAUAGUACCUGUGAAGAUGCAGGUUACCCGCGACAGGACGGAAAGACCCCGUGGAGCUUUACUGCAACCUGAUAUGGAAUGUUUGUACCGCUUGUACAGGAUAGGUAGGAGCCGAAGAGACGUGUGCGCUAGCAUACGAGGAGGCAAUGGUGGGAUACUACCCUGGCUGUAUGACCAUUCUAACCCGCCACGCUUAGCGCGUGGGGAGACAGUGUCAGGUGGGCAGUUUGACUGGGGCGGUCGCCUCCUAAAGAGUAACGGAGGCGCCCAAAGGUUCCCUCAGAAUGGAUGGAAAUCAUUCGCAGAGUGUAAAGGCACAAGGGAGCUUGACUGCGAGACUGACAAGUCGAGCAGGGACGAAAGUCGGGCUUAGUGAUCCGGUGGUUCCGCAUGGAAGGGCCAUCGCUCAACGGAUAAAAGCUACCCCGGGGAUAACAGGCUUAUCUCCCCCAAGAGUCCACAUCGACGGGGAGGUUUGGCACCUCGAUGUCGGCUCGUCGCAUCCUGGGGCUGUAGUCGGUCCCAAGGGUUGGGCUGUUCGCCCAUUAAAGCGGCACGCGAGCUGGGUUCAGAACGUCGUGAGACAGUUCGGUCCCUAUCCGUCGCGGGCGCAGGAAAUUUGAGAGGAGCUGUCCUUAGUACGAGAGGACCGGGAUGGACACACCGCUGGUGUACCAGUUGUUCCGCCAGGAGCAUCGCUGGGUAGCUAUGUGUGGCAGGGAUAAACGCUGAAAGCAUCUAAGCGUGAAGCCCCCCUCAAGAUGAGAUUUCCCAUUUCUUCGGAAAGUAAGAUCCCUGAAAGAUGAUCAGGUAGAUAGGUUUGGAGUGGAAGUGUAGCGAUACAUGGAGCGGACAAAUACUAAUCGAUCGAGGACUUAACCAAAA